rnacentral:rRNA from 1 species
UACGUAGGGAGCAAGCGUUGUCCGGAAUCAUUGGGCGUAAAGCGCGCGUAGGUGGCCUCAUAAGUCCGCUGUGAAAGUCAAAGGCUCAACCUUUGAAAGCCGGUGGAUACUGUGAGGCUAGAGUACGGAAGAGGCGAGUGGAAUUCCUGGUGUAGCGGUGGAAUGCGCAGAUAUCUGGAGGAACACCGGUGGCGAAGGCGGCAUCCUGGACCAACACUGACGCUGAGUGAGCGAAAGCCAGGGGAGCAAAGCGGG